CUUGGACGCCCGAGGGCGGAAACACUAGAGACGAGCAGAGCGAGUCCAGAGAGAUGUGCAGUUGCUCUGGGGUUGGAAAAAGCGAAAAUGAAAAGAAAAAUCGUACGAGAAAGCAUGAGAUGGGGAAUUUAGAACCCACUGCAAAAGUCCACUGACGUCGAGAGAACUGCUGAGCAUGUGGAAGAGCUGGCACAUAACCGUAGAUAGAAGCAGAUAACUGGGUGUUUGCACGAGGCCAAGGGAUGGGAAGAGAUUCUCAUGAAUGGAUUAAUAUGGCUAGUGUGAUAAAGCAGAGAGAAGAAGCCUUUCUCAAGGCAGCAACAGAUGCCUUCUUCAACAACCCCUUUAGCACCAUCUCUUCCAGAAGAUGCAAUGUCAGUCUGCAGAGAAGGGCAAGCUGAGUUUCCUCUUUUAGGGCCUAGAAAAUGAAUUCUCAGUGUGUGUGUGUGUGUGUGUGUGUGUGUGUGUGUGUGUGUGUGUGUGUGUGUGUUUAAUUUUACCUUGUUUUUGAAUGUAUCUGCAUAUAUGUAUGUGUAUUUAUGUGUGUAUGUAUGUAUGUAUGUAUGUAUGUAUGUAUGUAUGUAACAGACAGGAUCUUGCUAUAUAUGCCUGGCUGGUCUGCAACUUAAUGUGUAGUUUAGGUUGGCCUCAGCCUCACAGAGGUCUGCUUGCUUGUCUCCCAGUGUUGGUGCGUGCCACCAUGUCUGACUCUUGGCUUGUUUUUACACUCAUGGGUCAAUUCCUGGAGUUUUCCCCUUUUUAGUUUCAAAUUCGUUCUUUUCCUUUCCUUUCCUCUUCUCCUCUCCUCUCCUCUCCUCUCCUCUCCUCUCCUCUCCUCUCCUCUCCUCUCC
ensembl:lncRNA